UACGUAGGGGGGCAAGCGUUGUCCGGAAUUAUUGGGCGUAAAGAGCGCGUAGGCGGUCCGAUAAGUCGGCUGUGAAAGUCCAGGGCUCAACCCUGGAAAGCCGGCCGAUACUGCCGGACUAGAGUCCGGAAGAGGCAAGUGGAAUUCCCGGUGUAGCGGUGAAAUGCGCAGAUAUCGGGAGGAACACCAAUUGCGAAGGCAGCUUGCUGGGACGGUACUGACGCUGAGGCGCGAAAGCGUGGGGAGCAAACAGGG
rnacentral:rRNA from 1 species